rnacentral:rRNA from 1 species
GAUGAAGAACGCAGCGAAAUGCGAUAAGUAAUGUGAAUUGCAGAAUUCAGUGAAUCAUCGAAUCUUUGAACGCACAUUGCGCCCGCUAGUAUUCUAGCGGGCAUGCCUGUUCGAGCGUCAUUUCAACCCUCAAGCCCUGCUUGGUGUUGGGGCCCUACGGCUGCCGUAGGCCCUGAAAACUAGUGGCGGGCUCGCUAUAACUCCGAGCGUAGUAGUAAAAUAUCUCGCUAGGGAGGUGUCGCGGGUUCCGGCCGUGAAAGCCCCAUCUUUUACACAAGGUUGACCUCGGAUCAGGUAGGAAUACCCGCUGAACUUAAGCAUAUCAAUAAGCGGAGGAAAAGAAACCAACAGGGAUUGCCCCAGUAACGGCGAGUGAAGCGGCAACAGCUCAAAUUUGAAAUCUGGCCUCGGCCCGAGUUGUAAUUUGUAGAGGAUGCUUUUGGUGAGGUGCCUUGUGAGUUCCCUGGAACGGGACGCCAGAGAGGGUGAGAGCCCCGUAUACUUGGACACCGAGCCUCUGUAAAGCUCCUUCGACGAGUCGAGUAGUUUGGGAAUGCUGCUCAAAAUGGGAGGUAUAUCUCUUCUAAAGCUAAAUAUUGGCCAGAGACCGAUAGCGCACAAGUAGAGUGAUCGAAAGAUGAAAAGCACUUUGAAAAGAGGGUUAAAUAGUACGUGAAAUUGUUGAAAGGGAAGCGCUUGUGACCAGACUUGUGCCGGGCUGAUCAUCCAGUGUUCUCACUGGUGCACUCUGCCCGGCUCAGGCCAGCGUCGGUUCUCGGUGGGGGACAAAAGCUUCGGGAACGUAGCUCCUUCGGGAGUGUUAUAGCCCGCUGCUCAAUACCCUACCGGGGACCGAGGU